UUCCUUUUUUCUCUGAGACCUGCAGACGGACGGGAUAGUGUUGAAGUGAAUUUUUGUGACGAAGCUUAGUUUUCAGCUAAGCUAAAAGUAAGCUGAGAGGAAUUGUUUCUUUAAGAAGCUUUGGAAAACGUGUUUCCCCCAAUGUGGUGCCUGGAAGGAAGGAGUUGCUACUGUUACUUUGAGCCACUCCCUGACGCUGUCAGAGAUUCUAAAGAAAAUAAUACAGAGCGAGCCACUGCAUGUAACCUGAGUAACACUGUCUAGGCUGAGUGCCCACAAACAGAAGUUAAUAUUAGGCGCCCGGAAACCGAGGCUUCAGUCCUGACUCUGCUGCUAACUGGGAAGAUGAUCAACUGUAAAAGCCAUACAACCUUCCUAAGCCCUAAUUUCCACAUCUGAGGAACGGAGGACUUGGAAUUAGAUAGUCAGUGAAUUCCCUUCCAGAACCAUGACAAAUACAGGAAGGCAACAGAGGAGGCUUUCAUGGACCUUUCAUGACAGUGAUCAACUCAACUCUGAGCAUCUCCAAAGCCAAUGUCUUUACACACAGAAAAUUUAAAAGAUUUGACUUCAGUAAAGACAAGUUGUGUUAAGUCCUUUCUACACUACGCUGGUCAAGUCUCAUCUGGAGAACCGAGCUCAUUUCUGGGGACUGAUUUAAUGAGAGCAUCGUUGUCCUAGAGAGCACCAGGAUGUCUGUGGAUAACAUGGAAGAAAGGGCUUAAGGAGAUUGCUGAAACUGAGGGCCGGGCUUGGAUCCUCACUGGGAUGCUCGCAUUCAGCACAUGCCAUGUUAUACUGCAAGGCACACCAUUGACAUGCAGCACACCUCCCGGAACAUCAGGUUUCUCUGAUGAUAAGAAAUAUAAUAAUAAUUAUUAUUUUAAAUUAUUUUAUUGAAGUCAUUUUUGCUUAUAAUAUAAU
rnacentral:lncRNA from 1 species